rnacentral:rRNA from 1 species
CCUGUAAGCGGGAAUAACCCGUUGAAAGACGGACUAAUACCGCAUAAUACUAAAUUACUGCAUGGUAAUUUAUUUAAACAUUUAUGGCUUACAGAUGGGCAUGCGCAUGAUUAGCUAGUUGGAGAGGUAAUGGCUCCCCAAGGCAACGAUCAUUAGGGGUUCUGAGAGGAAGGUCCCCCACACUGGUACUGAGACACGGACCAGACUCCUACGGGAGGCAGCAGUGAAGGAAUAUUGGUCAAUGGACGAGAGUCUGAACCAGCCAAGUCGCGUGCAGGAAGAAUGUUACCCUAUGGAUUGUAAACUGUCUUUUGCGAGGGGAAUAAAGUGCAUCACGUGUGAUGUUUUGUAUGUACUCUGCGAAUAAGGAUCGGCUAACUCCGUGCCAGCCGCCGC